AUUGAACGCUGGCGGCAGGCCUAACACAUGCAAGUCGAGCGGAUGAAGGGAGCUUGCUCCUGGAUUCAGCGGCGGACGGGUGAGUAAUGCCUAGGAAUCUGCCUGGUAGUGGGGGAUAACGUCCGGAAACGGGCGCUAAUACCGCAUACGUCCUGAGGGAGAAAGUGGGGGAUCUUCGGACCUCACGCUAUCAGAUGAGCCUAGGUCGGAUUAGCUAGUUGGUGGGGUAAAGGCCUACCAAGGCGACGAUCCGUAACUGGUCUGAGAGGAUGAUCAGUCACACUGGAACUGUGACACGGUCCAGACUCCUACGGGAGGCAGCAGUGGGGAAUAUUGGACAAUGGGCGAAAGCCUGAUCCAGGCAUGCCGCGUGUGUGAAGAAGGUCUUCGGAUUGUAAAGCACUUUAAGUUGGGAGGAAGGGCAGUAAGUUAAUACCUUGCUGUUUUGACGUUACCAACAGAAUAAGCACCGGCUAACUUCGUG
rnacentral:rRNA from 1 species